rnacentral:rRNA from 1 species
UGGGGAAUCUUGCGCAAUGGGCGAAAGCCUGACGCAGCGACGCCGCGUGGGGGAAGAAGGCCUUCGGGUUGUAAACCUCUUUCAGGAGGGACGAAGCUACUCGGGUUAAUAGCCCAGAGGGUGACGGUACCUCCAGAAGAAGCCCCGGCUAACUACGUGCCAGCAGCCGCGGUAAUACGUAGGGGGCAAGCGUUGUCCGGAUUUAUUGGGCGUAAAGAGCGUGUAGGCGGCCAGGUAGGUCUGCUGUGAAAACUCGAGGCUUAAC